AAUGAAGUGCCUGACAAAAGGGCUAUUUUGAUAGAAUAGAUCAUGUAAAAAAUACCUUCAUUA
rnacentral:tRNA from 1 species